rnacentral:rRNA from 1 species
GGGUUGUGAGGUUAAGCGACUAAGCGUACACGGUGGAUGCCCUGGCAGUCAGAGGCGAUGAAGGACGUGCUAAUCUGCGAAAAGCGCCGGCGAGGUGAUAUGAACCUUUGACCCGGCGAUGUCCGAAUGGGGAAACCCAGUGCAAUCCGUUGCACUAUCGUUAACUGAAUACAUAGGUUAACGAGGCGAACCGGGGGAACUGAAACAUCUAAGUACCCCGAGGAAAAGAAAUCAACCGAGAUUCCCCCAGUAGCGGCGAGCGAACGGGGAGCAGCCCGGAGUCUGAAUCAGCUUGUGUGUUAGUGGAACGGUCUGGAAAGUCCGACGGUACAGGGUGAUAGUCCCGUACACGAAAGCACACAUGCUGUGAACUCGAAGAGUAGGGCGGGACACGUGGUAUCCUGUCUGAAUAUGGGGGGACCAUCCUCCAAGGCUAAAUACUCCUGACUGACCGAUAGUGAACCAGUACCGUGAGGGAAAGGCGAAAAGAACCCCGGCGAGGGGAGUGAAAAAGAACCUGAAACCGUGUACGUACAAGCAGUGGGAGCCUCUUUAUGGGGUGACUGCGUACCUUUUGUAUAAUGGGUCAGCGACUUAUAUUCUGUAGCAAGGUUAACCGUAUAGGGGAGCCGAAGGGAAACCGAGUCUUAACUGGGCGUUAAGUUGCAGGGUAUAGACCCGAAACCCGGUGAUCUAGCCAUGGGCAGGUUGAAGGUUGGGUAACACUAACUGGAGGACCGAACCGACUAAUGUUGAAAAAUUAGCGGAUGACCUGUGGCUGGGGGUGAAAGGCCAAUCAAACCGGGAGAUAGCUGGUUCUCCCCGAAAGCUAUUUAGGUAGCGCCUCGUGAACUCAUCUUCGGGGGUAGAGCACUGUUUCGGCUAGGGGGCCAUCCCGGCUUACCAACCCGAUGCAAACUACGAAUACCGAAGAAUGUUAUCACGGGAGACACACGGCGGGUGCUAACGUCCGUCGUGAAGAGGGAAACAACCCAGACCGCCAGCUAAGGUCCCAAAGUCAUGGUUAAGUGGGAAACGAUGUGGGAAGGCACAGACAGCCAGGAUGUUGGCUUAGAAGCAGCCAUCAUUUAAAGAAAGCGUAAUAGCUCACUGGUCGAGUCGGCCUGCGCGGAAGAUGUAACGGGGCUAAACCAUGCACCGAAGCUGCGGCAGCGACACUAUGUGUUGUUGGGUAGGGGAGCGUUCUGUAAGCCGUUGAAGGUGUCCUGUGAGGGGUGCUGGAGGUAUCAGAAGUGCGAAUGCUGACAUAAGUAACGAUAAAGCGGGUGAAAAGCCCGCUCGCCGGAAGACCAAGGGUUCCUGUCCAACGUUAAUCGGGGCAGGGUGAGUCGACCCCUAAGGCGAGGCCGAAAGGCGUAGUCGAUGGGAAACAGGUUAAUAUUCCUGUACUUGGUGUUACUGCGAAGGGGGGACGGAGAAGGCUAUGUCAGCCGGGCGACGGUUGUCCCGGUUUAAGCAUGUAGGCGGAGGUUCCAGGUAAAUCCGGUACCUUGUUAACGCUGAGGUGUGAUGACGAGGCACUACGGUGCUGAAGUGAUAAAUGCCCUGCUUCCAGGAAAAGCCUCUAAGCAUCAGGUAACACGAAAUCGUACCCCAAACCGACACAGGUGGUCAGGUAGAGAAUACCAAGGCGCUUGAGAGAACUCGGGUGAAGGAACUAGGCAAAAUGGUGCCGUAACUUCGGGAGAAGGCACGCUGAUGUGUAGGUGAAGUCCCUGCGGACGGAGCUGAAAUCAGUCGAAGAUACCAGCUGGCUGCAACUGUUUAUUAAAAACACAGCACUGUGCAAACACGAAAGUGGACGUAUACGGUGUGACGCCUGCCCGGUGCCGGAAGGUUAAUUGAUGGGGUUAGCGGCAACGCGAAGCUCUUGAUCGAAGCCCCGGUAAACGGCGGCCGUAACUAUAACGGUCCUAAGGUAGCGAAAUUCCUUGUCGGGUAAGUUCCGACCUGCACGAAUGGCGUAAUGAUGGCCAGGCUGUCUCCACCCGAGACUCAGUGAAAUUGAACUCGCUGUGAAGAUGCAGUGUACCCGCGGCAAGACGGAAAGACCCCGUGAACCUUUACUAUAGCUUGACACUGAACACUGGUCCUUGAUGUGUAGGAUAGGUGGGAGGCUUUGAAGCGUGGACGCCAGUCUGCGUGGAGCCAACCUUGAAAUACCACCCUUUAAUGGCUGGUGUUCUAACGUAGACCCGUAAUCCGGGUUGCGGACAGUGUCUGGUGGGUAGUUUGACUGGGGCGGUCUCCUCCCAAAGAGUAACGGAGGAGCACGAAGGUUGGCUAAUCCUGGUCGGACAUCAGGAGGUUAGUGCAAUGGCAUAAGCCAGCUUGACUGCGAGCGUGACGGCGCGAGCAGGUGCGAAAGCAGGUCAUAGUGAUCCGGUGGUUCUGAAUGGAAGGGCCAUCGCUCAACGGAUAAAAGGUACUCCGGGGAUAACAGGCUGAUACCGCCCAAGAGUUCAUAUCGACGGCGGUGUUUGGCACCUCGAUGUCGGCUCAUCACAUCCUGGGGCUGAAGUAGGUCCCAAGGGUAUGGCUGUUCGCCAUUUAAAGUGGUACGCGAGCUGGGUUUAGAACGUCGUGAGACAGUUCGGUCCCUAUCUGCCGUGGGCGCUGGAGAAUUGAGGGGGGCUGCUCCUAGUACGAGAGGACCGGAGUGGACGCAUCACUGGUGUUCGGGUUGUCAUGCCAAUGGCACUGCCCGGUAGCUAAAUGCGGAAGAGAUAAGUGCUGAAAGCAUCUAAGCACGAAACUUGCCCCGAGAUGAGUUCUCCCUGAGACCUUGAGUCUCCUGAAGGAACGUUGAAGACGACGACGUUGAUAGGUCGGGUGUGUAAGCGCAGCGAUGCGUUGAGCUAACCGAUACUAAUGAACCGUGAGGCUUAACCUUACAACGCCGAAGGUGUUU